rnacentral:rRNA from 1 species
CAGUAGCCACGGUAAUACGUAGGUGGCGAGCGUUGUCCGGAAUUAUUGGGCGUAAAGGGAGCGCAGGCGGACAUAUAAGUCCAUCUUAAAAGUGCGGGGCUCAACCCCGUGAGGGGAUGGAAACUUUAUGCCUUGAGUGCAGGAGAGGAAAGCGGAAUUCCCAGUGUAGCGGUGAAAUGCGUAGAUAUUGGGAGGAACACCAGUGGCGAAGGCGGCUUUCUGGACUGCAACUGACGCUGAGGCUCGAAAGCCAGGGGAGCGAACGGGAUUAGAUACCCCCGUAGUCCCUGUCUCUUAUACA